UAGUCGGAGGUGUGUCUCGGACGGUCGGUUCGCCGCUUGUCGGUGCUCAACUGGCCGGUCCGGACGUCCUGCCGGUGGGGCCCCUCGCGGCCCCGUCAUCCUUCUUUGGUCCUCUUCACCGAGUGCCUUGGUGGGCCGGCACGUUUACUUUGAACAAAUUAGAGUGCUCAAAGCAGGCCGUUGGUCGCCUGAAUACUGUGUGCAUGGAAUAAUGGAAUAGGACCUCGGUUCCAUUUUGUUGGUUUUCGGGACUCGAGGUAAUGAUUAAUAGGGACGGACGGGGGCAUUCGUAUUGCGACGUUAGAGGUGAAAUUCUUGGAUCGUCGCAAGACGAACCGAUGCGAAAGCAUUUGCCAAGAACGUUUUCGUUGAUCAAGAACGAAAGUUAGAGGUUCGAAGGCGAUCAGAUACCGCCCUAGUUCUAACCAUAAACGAUGCCAGCUAGCCAUCCGCCGAAGUUCCUUCUAUGACUCGGCGGGCAGCUUCCGGGAAACCAAAGCUCUUGGGUUCCGGGGGAAGUAU
rnacentral:rRNA from 1 species